GAUGAAGAACGUAGCGAAAUGCGAUACGUAAUGUGAAUUGCAAAUUCAGUGAAUCAUCGAGUCUUUGAACACACAUUGCGCCCCCUGGUAUUCCGGGGGGCAUGCCUGUCCGAGCGUCAUUGCUGCCCUCAAGCACGGCUUGUGUGUUGGGCCCCGUCCUCCGAUCCCGGGGGACGGGCCCGAAAGGCAGCGGCGGCACCGCGUCCGGUCCUCGAGCGUAUGGGGCUUUGUCACCCGCUCUGUAGGCCCGGCCGGCGCUUGCCGAUCAACCCAAAUUUUUAUCCAGGUUGACCUCGGAUCAGGUAGGGAUACCCGCUGAACUUAAGCAUAUCAAUAAGCGGAGGA
rnacentral:misc_RNA from 1 species